UACGAAGGGGACUAGCGUUGUUCGGAUUUACUGGGCGUAAAGCGCGCGUAGGCGGUUACUUAAGUUGGAUGUGAAAGCCCUCGGCUUAACUGAGGAAGUGCAUCCAAAACUGAGUAGCUAGAGUACGAAAGAGGGUCGCGGAAUUCCCGAUGUAGAGAUGAAAUUCGUAGAUAUCGGGAGGAACACCGGUGGCGAAGGCGGCGACCUGGGUCGAGACUGACGCUGAGGCGCGGAAGCGUGGGGAGCAAACAGG
rnacentral:rRNA from 1 species